rnacentral:rRNA from 1 species
GAUGAACACUGGCGGCGUGCUUAAUACAUGCAAGUCGAACGGAGACAUUAGCAAUAAUGUUUUAGUGGCGAACGGGUGAGUAACGCGUUGGUGACCUGCCCCGAAGAGAGGGAUAACAGUUCGAAAGGAUUGCUAAUACCCCAUGUGGUUGUUUGGAUUAGAUGCCUUACAACUAAACGGAUUUAUUCGUUUCGGGAGGUGCCUGCGUCACAUCAGCUAGUUGGUAGGGUAAUGGCCUACCAAGGCUAUGACGGGUUGGGGACCUGAGAGGGUGGCCCCCCACAAGGGACCUGAAACACGGUCCAUACACCUACGGGUGGCAGCAGUAGGGAAUAUUGGUUAAUCUGCGAAAGCGGGAACCAGCAACGCCGCGUGCACGAUGAAGGCCUUCGGGUUGUAAAGUGCUUUUUGAGAGGAUGAGGAAGGACAGUACUCUUAGAAUAAGCUUCGGCUAACUACGUGCCAGCAGCCGCCGUAACAC